AUUGAACGCUGGCGGCAGGCCUAACACAUGCAAGUCGAGCGGAUGAAGGGAGCUUGCUCCUGGAUUCAGCGGCGGACGGGUGAGUAAUGCCUAGGAAUCUGCCUGGUAGUGGGGGAUAACGUCCGGAAACGGGCGCUAAUACCGCAUACGUCCUGAGGGAGAAAGUGGGGGAUCUUCGGACCUCACGCUAUCAGAUGAGCCUAGGUCGGAUUAGCUAGUUGGUGGGGUAAAGGCCUACCAAGGCGACGAUCCGUAACUGGUCUGAGAGGAUGAUCAGUCACACUGGAACUGAGACACGGUCCAGACUCCUACGGGAGGCAGCAGUGGGGAAUAUUGGACAAUGGGCGAAAGCCUGAUCCAGACAUGCCGCGUGUGUGAAGAAGGUCUUCGGAUCGUAAAGCACUUUAAGUUGGGAGGAAGGGCAGUAAGUUAAUAACUUGCUGUUUUGACGUUACCAACAGAAUAAGCACCGGCUAACUUCGUG
rnacentral:rRNA from 1 species